ACGUCAUAGACGUCACUAUUACAGUUCCCUGUUUUAUCUAAAGAACUCCCUUGAGUCGUUUAGAUAAAGUAUAGAGUGCUUACUCUCUAGAAUGACGAGGACAGUUUAUUGAAGCGUUCAGCUAAUGAACAAUAAAGAAACAAGGAUCAAAUCAUUCAGUUAUUGUGUCAAUAUAAACAUUUCUGUUACGAAUAAUGUUCUUAAAAUCUUAAUAAAUUAAUAAUUAGUCAUAAAGUAACCCUCUAAUUUUUACAUAAGGAGUUUGGUAUUAGAGUUCAAUGCAUUAUUAUAUUGCAUUCAAUUGUACAUCAAGAACGGUGGCUUUUUUAAUAUCCCCAGAGCACGAUCUUGCUAGUAAAUCGUUGAAAAAAUGUGAACUCAACCACAAUCAUGUGAAAAUAAGCUUUUUUCCUGCUUCUAAAUCCCUCGCCAAGAUUGGAAACAACCCAAAUGGGCAAGGAUUUUUUUAAGCCCUUCAAGGACUCCGACAUUCGACGAAUCUUAAAGCGAAGAACUUAUGAUGAAGACAGUCAUGACAAUAAUGAAUUGUGAUGACAUGAUUGAACAAGGGACGAGAAAGAUCAUCCUUCCGCAAAUAGAGAUCAAGUUUUUUGCGUCAAUGGAAAUCGAGAUGUUCCCUUAGAUCAACAUAUAUGUCACAACCCAAUGAGGAUUACUUUAUUUGUCAUUUCAAAAAUCAUUGUACCACCUUUGAAGGAUACAAUUGUUUACCUACGCAGAUGAAAUGAAAUAUUAUACCUUACCCUUUUUAAGUAGUUAAGUAAUAUUUCACAAAUAAACGUAGCUAUGCAAUUCCAGUGUCCCGCCACACCAUCCCGUACAUACUAGGUUUUUCUUUUCAUCUUUAACAAUAUGUUAAAAACCCUACGAACGACAAAGGAAGUUGAAACAGAGGCUGUCUGAUACAAAAGAACCAAAGAUGCGGGUACAGGGGUACCAAACGCCUUUGUUGUUUGUGUGACCGUUUUCUAUUGGGAGGGGGGAAUACAAUUGUAUACCUACGUUUAUUUAUGAAAUAUUACUUAACUACUUAAAAUAGGUAGAAUAUUAUAUUUAUUAUUUUAGGGUCAGUUUUGUCGCAAAACCUACAUUGAAGGAUUCUUGAACAAAAAUGUUUGUCCAUGAAAAUAAAGAACUCUAAAAUCACUUGGUCAAGUCCACCAGUUAAAAAAGCACAAAUAUUAAGAUUUAAUUGUGGUUCGUAAGGGUAUGAAUCUCUUCUUGACCAAGGAUUUCCUUUACCCUCGCUGAGGACACUGCGAAGGAAAACUGAAGGCAUUUCAUUUGAAAGGUGUAUUUUGAAUGAGGAUUUUGAGUUUUUUCAAGUUUAAAAUAACGACCGUCAGUGAAAAAGACAAAAAUAUACUUUUCAAGUGCACACCGCCGAAUAUGCAAAACAUAUUCCUGUCGUCCUGUUCUCUGGAAUUGAAAGUAGAUUUAAGCAAAUUUUGGUUAUUUCUUUACUCCAAAUUCAGUCAAUGGGUAUGUACUGGAGAAAAUUACAACAGAUGUCGUCAUAAGAUCUUCCAAAAUUGGUCAACGUGUAAGAUCGAUUACCACAGAUAUGGGACCAUCAAACUAGGCAAUAUUCCGUUGAUAGGUAGUUAAUUUUGGAAGAAAAAAUGAAAUUGUCAACUUCGUACCUCAUUCAGCAAAUCCGAAAGAAAAUUUAUACUUUCCUUAUGAUCUUCAUCUAAAAAUCUUUGUAGAUCUUUGGUAAACAAUAUGGAAAUUAUUUUGCCACCAUUUUUUUUGGGAAGAAAGACAUUUAUCAAAGAACACUGUUCUUGUAAAACAUUUUCAAAAACUCGUAGACUUAGAAAAAGUUUAGGAAUUGAAAAUUGUUCUAAAGCUUUCUAAAAGUGUGAUUAACCUCAGCCACUUUUCGAAAAUGAAUGUUACUGUUUCAAUUACUUUUUUUUUCAUGAAACAAGUGUGGGUAUGAGAUAUUCGACAAUACAGGAGGAGGAUGGGUCAAUCUUA
rnacentral:lncRNA from 1 species